rnacentral:rRNA from 1 species
GAUGAACGCUGGCGGCGUGCCUAAUACAUGCAAGUCGAGCGAACGGACGAGAAGCUUGCUUCUCUGAUGUUAGCGGCGGACGGGUGAGUAACACGUGGAUGACCUACCUAUAAGACUGGGAUAACUUCGGAAAACCGGAGCUAAUACCGGAUAAUAUUUUGAACCGCAUGGUUCAAAAGUGAAAGACGGUCUUGCUGUCACUUAUAGAUGGAUCCGCGCUGCAUUAGCUAGUUGGUAAGGUAACGGCUUACCAAGGCAACGAUGCAUAGCCGACCUGAGAGGGUGAUCGGCCACACUGGAACUGAGACACGGUGCAGACUCCUACGGGAGGCAGCAGUAGGGAAUCUUCCGCAAUGGGCGAAAGCCUGACGGAGCAACGCCGCGUGAGUGAUGAAGGUCUUCGGAUCGUAAAACUCUGUUAUUAGGGAAGAACAUAUGUGUAAGUAACUGUGCACAUCUUGACGGUACCUAAUCAGAAAGCCACGGCUAACUACGUG